rnacentral:rRNA from 1 species
AGCGAACGCUGGCGGCAGGCCUAACACAUGCAAGUCGAACGAACCCUUCGGGGUUAGUGGCGGACGGGUGAGUAACACGUGGGAACGUGCCUUUAGGUUCGGAAUAACUCAGGGAAACUUGUGCUAAUACCGAAUGUGCCCUUCGGGGGAAAGAUUUAUCGCCUUUAGAGCGGCCCGCGUCUGGUUAGCUAGUUGGUGAGGUAAUGGCUCACCAAGGCUACGAUCAGUAGCUGGUCUGAGAGGAUGACCAGCCACAUUGGGACUGAGACCCGGCCCAAACUCCUACGGGAGGCAGCAGUGGGGAAUCUUGCGCAAUGGGCGAAAGCCUGACGCAGCCAUGCCGCGUGGAUGAUGAAGGUCUUAGGAUUGUAAAAUCCUUUCACCGGUGGAGAUAAUGACUGUAGCCGGAGAAGAAGCCCCGGCUAACUUCGUGCCAGCCGCCGCAGUAAGAC